rnacentral:piRNA from 1 species
UAGUGAGUGCGUGACCUGGAACAAUCAC